GCCACAUUCAAGGAAACUGCUCAGCCUGGGUUCUUCACUUGAGGAAAAAUACUGUGGGCUCCUUGCACUGGUGCUCUGUGUUUUGCCCUCCAAAAGGCACAGGAGGAGUGCAGCAUUGCCAGGUGACUUGUAGAGGUGCCCUCCCCAGCUUUGUGCUGCAGCCUCUUAAUUGUUCCUUUCAUUUGGCAACCGGUAGGAUAUAGAAGAUUCCACUUCUAAAACGGGGAGCUGCAGCGUGGAAAGAAAUAGAUUUCUCUUUUUAGAGGUAAGCUGCUAAGUUUUCCUACCAUCUGUACAAAAUUUUGGUCUCCACAAGGAGAUUAUCUGCUGCAAGUCUUUUCCAUCCAUAUCAUCUAUUCCUGCUCUCGUCACAGCUUCCCGAGUCAGCUUUGUCACUUCCCACAAAAGCUGCUCCACUUGGGCUGCUCCAGUCUCUGAAAGCCCAAUUUCCUUCUUGGUGCCUGAAAUUGCUUUGCUACAUGGUGGAAACAGCUGGGACUGAUUCAUCAAAAAAAACCCAACCGGCGCUCAAAACGUUCAGCUAAAAUGAUGAUUAAUUAGUCAUCUGCUUGGAUAGAUAAAACAUAAGAAGAAAACAAGAACCUAUGAUUUCUUCCAUGAUUUAAAACAGUAAUCAGAGAAAAAACAACAGGACCAUGUGAAGAAGGGAAGCCAACUAUGGAAUACUCAUUAGGGAACAUUUUCAUAGCAGUCUUAAAUUUUCAAGUGGUUUUAGGCCUCUUGAAAUUAUGAAGAACUUCUCUGUAGCCCUUCAGUGUUUGGUUCUCAGCUGGUGAAAAUACAGAAGGUGAGUGAUCUUUGCCUAAUGUGUUACAUGAAAGGAGCUCAAGCACAGCACGAAAGGAGCAAAAUAGUAGAAAUUUGUGCCAGUAUUCAGGAAAAGAGAAAGAUGCUGAGAUUUUGAUACUGAAAAUGGAAAAAAAAAAAUUAUUUCUAGAAGGGAAUUGCAGUUUGGUCAUCUAAGGCCUCAUAACUCAAACACGGAUAACCAGAGAGCAGGCAAAGUACCUUGAGGAAAGGCAGAGUUUACGCCAGACAGCUGGUUAACGUCAGGACCCAGGGGGUUUAUCUGCAGGCCCAGAAGGAGCACGAAAACUUCAUGGUGCUGCACUGGCAGAGGAGGGUGGCAUUCCGGCUGGAGCAGGCCUUCCCUUGGGCCCUGCUCUGCCUACCAAAGCCUCAGUCAUGGCCUGGAGCACACGGACACCAUUUAAAGUCUUUACUGGGAUGACAAACUGCAGAAAUACUGGCAAAGUGUAAAACUGAGAGGUUAAAAAAAAAACCCCGACGAGGCUGUAAUGAGCUAGCUCAACUCAUCAAGUCUGUGCCCGGGCACAGCUUCCUAAUAAUAGAGACACAUCAAGCCCUGCCUGCUGGGAACUGAACCGAGGAUGCCAAAGAGGAGUCAGAUGGUGACAACUCGGCUGUUACACGCGCAGGAGGUUUUCAAAACAGCACCCUAAAGGUAAAAAAACAAAACAGUUUGUAAGAGCAGUAGCACUAAGAAAGGGUGUUUAAUUCAAG
rnacentral:lncRNA from 1 species